rnacentral:rRNA from 1 species
GUGCUGGCUCUUUAAAUGAAGGGCAUUGUGCACUCCCUCAAAUCAUCAUAUUCACCUGUGCACAAUUUGAUAGGCAAGUGAAAAAGGGAAUGGCAACAUUCUUGGAUUUGCUUGACUUAUUGUCCUUUUUAUCUAUACACACACUUUAUAUGAAUGUGAACAAAUAUAAAAUUUGUAACAACUUUCAACAAUGGAUCUCUUGGUUCUCGCAUCGAUGAAGAACGCAGCGAAUUGCGAUAUGUAAUGUGAAUUGCAGAAUUAAGUGAAUCAUCGAAUCUUUGAACGCAUAUUGCACCCUCUGGUAUUCUGGAGGGUAUACCUGUUUGAGUGUCAUUGUUAUCUCAAAAGCAAAGAGUUCAAUCUGUUUCUCUUUGCAUUUGGAUGUUGAAGGUCUUGCUGGCAUUUAUUUUGUUCAGCUCCUUUGAAAUGUAUUAGCGAGGGUUCUUUGCAGGACCAGCUUUGGUUUGAUACACAUUUGUUAUCUGAGCUGCUGCUGGAAUUGCUUUUAUGACUCUGCUCCUCAAUUGUCUUGCACACACACAAGACUUGUCCACUCUGGGCAAAAAAAGAAAAAUCUAACUUGACCUCA